AUCAAUGCAAGCUUAUGACCGGCACUUCCUGGGAAUUCCUCCUUCAUGGGGAAUAAUUGCAAUCCCCAAUCCCCAUCAUGAAUGGGGUUCAAUGGGUUACCCGCACCUGCCAGCAUAGGGUAGGCACACACUGAGCCAGUCAGUGUAGCACACGUGCAGACCCGGACAUCUAAGGGCAUCACAGACCUGUUAUUGCUCAGUCUCGGGGGGCUGAAUGCCACUUGUCCCUCUGAGAAGUUGGGGGACACCGACCGCUUAGGGGUCAUGUAACUAAUUAGCAUGCCAGAGUCUCAUUCGUUUUCGGAAUUAACCAGACAAAUCGCUCCAACUAAGAACAGCCAUGAACCACCACCCACAGAAUCGAGAAAGAGCUAUCUGUCAAUCCUGUCCGUGUCCAGGCGAGGUUUCCCAUGUUGAGUCAAAUUAAGCUGCAGCCUCCACUCUGGUGGUGCCCUUCCAUCAAGUCCUUUGUUUCAGCUUUGCAACCAUACUCCCCCCGGAACCCAAAGACUUUGGUUUCCCAGAAGCUGCCCAGCGGGUCAUGGGACUAAUGCCGCCACAUUGCCAGUCAGCAUCAUUUAUGGUCAGAACUACAACAGUAACUGAUCUUCGAACCUCCAAUUUCGUUCUUGAUCAAUGAAAACACUCUUGGCAAAUGCUUUCGCUCUGGUCCGUCUUGCGCCGUUCCAAGAAUUUCACCUCUAGCGGGGCAAUACAAACGCCCCCAGCCAUCCCUCUUAAUCAUGGCCUCCCUUCCGAAAACCAACAAAAUAGAACCACGGUCCUAUUCCAUUAUUCCUAGCUGUGGUAUCCAGGUGGCUCAGGCCUGCUUUGAACACUAAUUUUUUCAAAGUUAACACUUCAGGCCCCGCGGGACACUCAGCUAAGAGCAUCGAGGGGAC
rnacentral:lncRNA from 1 species